GACCGUGUGCUGCCUUCCCAGGAGGAUAUAGACCAACAUACUUGUCUACACCACAUCAGGCUUGCUAUGAUAAAUGUGUCGCAAAUUAUUUUUGCUAUGGAUACGCUUAUAGCGUUGGCAGUGUGUGUGAACUAUUUAUGUUUGAUGGAAAUGGGAUCGAUACAAGUGUUGAAGAAUAUACAGACGUGUAUAUGUUCUGUCGGAAUGCAACAGGACAAUGUAAAAGAUUCGGCGUCGGUCUCCAAGAAACAGCAGCGUUCAUUUCCAACAGUAAUAAGGAAUGUUUUACUUCUUGCUCACUGAAACCGAAAUGUUUUGGAUAUACUUAUGACUCUACGGCCAAAACAUGUAUUCAUUCAAUGUUACCUGCAUCUGAGAUGCUCUUGUUCCCUGACCAAAGAACGUACGCAUUUAUCAUCUGCUAACUGUUAUGUGCCAUAUCGUAAUUGUUAAACAGAUCUUCAUAAAUUUGAAUCUGGAGAAGGGCAAAAUGAAUAUAAUUUAUAAGCAUAACAAACAACAUAAAAUACCCCUUUUUAUUUUGGUGGUCGGUUGAUCAUUUCCUUUUCAUGUACAUUUUUAUAUAAAGUUCUAACAAGUAUUUUUUUUUAAAUUUCCUUAUACAUUAAGUUAAUGCAAUAUUUCAAGAGGAUUUCAUCAAUGCGUUCCCAAUCCUGUAUUUUUAAACGCGUGACCUUAUAUUCUACAACCAAGUCAUUUCAAUGUAAACUAAGCAAGAGCUAUAUGAAUUGGAUCCUAACUAGUGAGGCGCCGCUUUAUCCAGAUUAAAUCACAGACGCCCCGUGGCGGCUGUGUGAAGGCCUAGAGUGUACGUUGAUCACCUUCCGUAAUAGUGAAGUAAAACACACUUCAGCGACCACUCAUGUGUCAAGGGCGUAGCGCGGCGCUAUCGGGAGUCACAAGUUACUCUACAGCAGGGCAUCGGGUACGGCCGCUGACUCAGUUUAAUCAUCAAAUGUCGUGUGCUACCAUGUUCCUAUUGUAGGGUGCUCUUUAAAACAAACGUAGGCUCCUUAGUGCUCAGGGGGGAGCCCGGGGCGCUUCUGGCCACUCAAUCGCCAGGGCAAUGCAGUUUUACCGCUGUAUCAAUAUUUACCACCAACACGCAAUGCAGAUCGCUCAUUCAACGGAAACCAAGUGAUAAUAUCGCGAUUUUAGAAAUCUGGGCGCAAAAACGAAUAUUAAGAAAAUUUGCACUCUCCCGGAGCGCCGCACUUAAAAAAGUGUAACUUAUUUUUUCAUAGAACCCUUCUCAGCAGUACUGUAAGUAACACCUAAAUGUUUCAUGGCACUCGGAUGAUCGGUGCCAUACCGAAUCCGACUAUUAUUUUUAUAUAUCGUAUAUGUAAAAGAAUCGAGUAACAGAAACCUCACUGUAAUAUUCUCAUCAACUUUUCAAAAUUCAUGGCAAUCGGAUGUAAAGUGUAGUAAUACAUAAAGGACAAACCCACAAACAAACCAACAAACAUACAUUAAUUAGAUUUUAGAUUUUCCCAACUUUACUCCGCCUUUUUUCUUUCCCACACUAACUCUUAAUCACCGCUUCUCUUAACCAACUAGUUACCUUAUGUAAUCACUUUUUUAACAAUGUAAAUAGUCAAUUAUAUAUUACACCAGAUUUGGGCGGUGAUAAUUUCUCUAUUACAUAUUUUUACAUUAUCGUUAUGCGUAUGGAAUAAAUGGGUUUUUUUUUCUUCUUAAAUUUGACAAGUUUAUUUCCUUAUUUUGUUUUGCAAUAAAGCAGAGCUUGAAAAUUUUUGUUAUUUUUAAAACUCACACAUAAACA